UCGGGAAUAUUGCGCAAUGGAGGAAACUCUGACGCAGUGACGCCGCGUGCAGGAAGAAGGUUUUCGGAUUGUAAACUGCUUUAGACAGGGAAGAAACAAGACAGUACCUGUAGAAUAAGCUCCGGCUAACUACGUGCCAGCAGCCGCGGUAAUACGUAGGGAGCAAGCGUUAUCCGGAUUUAUUGGGUGUAAAGGGUGCGUAGACGGGAAGGCAAGUUGGUUGUGAAAUCCCUCGGCUUAACUGAGGAACUGCAACCAAAACUAUCUUUCUUGAGUGCUGGAGAGGAAAGUGGAAUUCCUAGUGUAGCGGUGAAAUGCGUAGAUAUUAGGAGGAACACCAGUGGCGAAGGCGACUUUCUGGACAGUAACUGACGUUGAGGCACGAAAGUGUGGGGAGCAAACAGG
rnacentral:rRNA from 1 species